rnacentral:miRNA from 15 species
AUGCCCGCUUGCCCUCGUGACUUU